rnacentral:rRNA from 1 species
GAGAAUGUUAUCACGGGAGACACACGGCGGGUGCUAACGUCCGUCGUGAAGAGGGAAACAACCCAGACCGCCAGCUAAGGUCCCAAAGUCAUGGUUAAGUGGGAAACGAUGUGGGAAGGCCCAGACAGCCAGGAUGUUGGCUUAGAAGCAGCCAUCAUUUAAAGAAAGCGUAAUAGCUCACUGGUCGAGUCGGCCUGCGCGGAAGAUGUAACGGGGCUAAACCAUGCACCGAAGCUGCGGCAGCGACACUAUGUGUUGUUGGGUAGGGGAGCGUUCUGUAAGCCUGUGAAGGUGGCCUGUGAGGGUUGCUGGAGGUAUCAGAAGUGCGAAUGCUGACAUAAGUAACGAUAAAGCGGGUGAAAAGCCCGCUCGCCGGAAGACCAAGGGUUCCUGUCCAACGUUAAUCGGGGCAGGGUGAGUCGACCCCUAAGGCGAGGCCGAAAGGCGUAGUCGAUGGGAAACAGGUUAAUAUUCCUGUACUUGGUGUUACUGCGAAGGGGGGACGGAGAAGGCUAUGUUGGCCGGGCGACGGUUGUCCCGGUUUAAGCGUGUAGGCUGGUUUUCCAGGCAAAUCCGGAAAAUCAAGGCUGAGGCGUGAUGACGAGGCACUACGGUGCUGAAGUGACAAAUGCCCUGCUUCCAGGAAAAGCCUCUAAGCAUCAGGUAACAUCAAAUCGUACCCCAAACCGACACAGGUGGUCAGGUAGAGAAUACCAAGGCGCUUGAGAGAACUCGGGUGAAGGAACUAGGCAAAAUGGUGCCGUAACUUCGGGAGAAGGCACGCUGAUAUGUAGGUGAAGCGACUUGCUCGUGGAGCUGAAAUCAGUCGAAGAUACCAGCUGGCUGCAACUGUUUAUUAAAAACACAGCACUGUGCAAACACGAAAGUGGACGUAUACGGUGUGACGCCUGCCCGGUGCCGGAAGGUUAAUUGAUGGGGUUA